rnacentral:rRNA from 1 species
UGCGUAGGCGGAUUAUUAAGUCAGUGGUGAAAGUCGUCAGCUUAACUGAAGAAGUGCCAUUGAUACUGGUAGUCUUGAGUACAGUAGAGGUAGGCGGAAUUUAUGGUGUAGCGGUGAAAUGCAUAGAUACCAUAAAGAACACCGAUAGCGUAGGCAGCUUACUAUACUGUAACUGACGCUGAGGCACGAAAGCGUGGGGAGCGAACAGGAUUAGAUACCCUGGUAGUCC